AUGUUUUGUUCAUUUAUUUAUUUUUGCGGGAUAACAUUACUAUUUUCUAUUCGAACAUACGGAGAAACAGCACAAGGUGUCAUCCCAGCGGAUAAUAUUAGUAAAUUUAAGAUCAGAAUUCGAGAAGGAGUGAUCUACACGAUCCAGCAUUACCUGAUUCUGAGAGCAAAUGAAAAAUACAGAGCCACUGAUCAUCCUUUCAGGCUUUCUUUUAUUAAUACAAAUACUGUGUGUCCCGUCAACCCUCAGCCUCCUGGUUUUCCUCUCAUCGCUCAUAAUGCUCUUCCAUUCUCGGAACUAGAAAAACGAAUCGGAUAAAAUGUGCUUAUGUCAGAUGUAAUUGGUGGAAUUACCGGAAUCAUGGAUUUUCUUCCUCCUACUGUAAAUGCACGGGAGCCAAGACGUCAAAUCUUUAUUACCAAUCGACAAUAUAUCAUUUUCUCACAUUUACAGCAGUGUACAUCAUCCAUGAAUGACCACUUCUACAAAAUCCAGCAACUUAACUAG
rnacentral:rRNA from 1 species